GAUGAACGCUGGCGGCGUGCCUAAUACAUGCAAGUAGAACGCUGAAGGAAGGAGCUUGCUCUUUCCGGAUGAGUUGCGAACGGGUGAGUAACGCGUAGGUAACCUGCCUGGUAGCGGGGGAUAACUAUGGGAAACGAUAGCUAAUACCGCAUAACAGUAGAUGUUGCAUGAUAUAUACUUAAAAGGUGCAAUUGCACCACUACCAGAUGGAACUGCGUCGUAUUAGCUAGUUGGUGAGGUAACGGCUCAACAAGGCGACGAUACAUAGCCGACCUGAGAGGGUGGUCGGCCACCCUGGGACUGGGACACGGCCCAGACUCCUACGGGGGGCAGCCGUAGGGGAUCUUCGGCAAUGGACGGAAGUCUGACCGGGCAACGCCGCGUGAGUGGAGAAGGUUUUCGGCUCGUAAAGCUCCGUUGUAAGAGAAGAACGAGUGUGAGAGUGGAAAGUUCACACUGUGACGGUAUCUUACCAGAAAGGGACGGCUAACUACGUG
rnacentral:rRNA from 1 species